AAUAUAACGACUCUCGGCAACGGAUAUCUCGGCUCUCGCAUCGAUGAAGAACGUAGCGAAAUGCGAUACUUGGUGUGAAUUGCAGAAUCCCGUGAACCAUCGAGUUUUUGAACGCAAGUUGCGCCCGAAGCCAUCAGGUUGAGGGCACGUCUGUUUGGGCGUCA
rnacentral:rRNA from 1 species